rnacentral:rRNA from 1 species
AUGGGCUCAUGUCCUAUCAGCUUGUUGGUGAGGUAACGGCUCACCAAGGCUACGACGGGUAGCUGGUCUGAGAGGACGAUCAGCCACACUGGCACUGCGACACGGGCCAGACUCCUACGGGAGGCAGCAGUAAGCGAAUAUUGCGCAAUGGACGACAGUCUGACGCAGCGACGCCGCGUGGGGGAUGAAGGUCUUCGGAUUGUAAACCCCUUUCGGGUGGAAAGAUGGCUCUCGACAACGAGAGCGGACGGUACCACCAGAAGCAGCCACGGCCAACUUCGUGCCAGCAGCCGCGGUAAUACGAAGGUGGCAAGCGUUGUUCGGAUUCACUGGGCGUACAGGGUUUGUAGGCGGUUCGGUACGCCCUCUGGGAAAGCUCCUGGCUCAACCGGGAAAGUUCAGGGGGGACUGCCGGGCUAGAGGACGGGAGAGGAGCGCGGAAUUCCCGGUGUAGCGGUGAAAUGCGUAGAUAUCGGGAGGAAGGCCGGUGGCGAAGGCGGCGCUCUGGAACGUACCUGACGCUGAGACACGAAAGCGUGGGGAGCAAACAGGAUUAGAUAUCCUGGUAGUCCACGCCCUAAACGAUGGACACUACGUGUCGGGGAGCAAUCUCCGGUGCCGCAGCUAACGCAGUAAGUGUCCCGCCU